rfam:Lupinus angustifolius cultivar Tanjil contig_1837, whole genome shotgun sequence.
AGGGGCGAUCAUACCAACACUAGUGCACCGGAUCCCAUUAGAACUCUAAAAAUAAGCGUCUUUGGGUGACAGUAGUACUAGGAUGGGUGACCUCCUGGGAAGUCCUCGAGUUGCACCUC